UACGGAGGGUGCGAGCGUUGUCCGGAAUCACUGGGCGUAAAGGGCGCGUAGGUGGCCUGUGGAAGUCUGCGGUGAAAGCCCGGCGCUCAACGCCGGGUCGGCCGUGGAUACUCUCGGGCUUGAGCUUACUAGAGGCAGAUGGAAUUCCGGGUGUAGCGGUGGAAUGCGUAGAGAUCCGGAAGAACACCGGUGGCGAAGGCGGCUUCCUGGACCGACACUGACGCUGAGGCGCGAAAGCUAGGGGAGCAAACGGG
rnacentral:rRNA from 1 species